UUCACCUUUGAAACUUAUGAGGAACCCUUUAUUGUAAAGGUCAGCUACUGCCAUAUCAAAUUAGACGGGGGGGGAAUUUUCAGGUUCAGUUGAGCAGUUACAAGUUUUGGAAGGAUUUUUUGUUCAGUACCUACAUACUACUAAUUUUUUUUUUUGGUAAAAGGUACCAAAAGGCUGGGACAAGUUGGUUGUAUCUAUUAUCUCUAUUGAAACUGGGAAAACAAUUGCGAAGUCAAGCAAAGCACUUGUACAUAAUGGAAGUUGUCAGUGGACGGAUUCUAUUUCAGAAACUAUAUGUUUUUUGCAGGAUGACUCUUCAAAGGAGCUACAGGAUUGUUUCUUCAAGCUUGUUGUCUCCAUGGGUUCAACUAGAUCUGGCAUCCUUGGAGAGGCUACAGUCAAUAUGACAGGCUAUAUGAGUUCACCUGCUCCUGUUCCAGUUUCACUAAGAUUGAAAAAGUGCAAUCAUGGGACAAUUUUACAAGUAUAUUAUCAUUCCUAUCAUAGCGGAGAAGCACAUAAAGAGUAUUGUGUGAUCAUAGAAUACUUAUGAAGUUGAAGGAAAAUUUUUAUUAGACUGCUAUUAGACUCCGUAUGCGUUGUGGUAUUGAAAGUGAGACUGGGAAGAAGUAACAUAUUCAUGCAAAAACGAGAAUAUUAAAAUGAAUAGGUGGAAAUACACAGAAAGAUAGGAUUCGAAAUGAGGAAACUAUUUUAAAGAUCAGUGUGUAACAAAGGUUCAAGCCCUUGAAGAAGAAUUAAAGCUGAUGAAGGACGGGAAGCAGAACCACAGGGAGUCCAGCACUAUGAAGGUUCCUAGUUUGUCUAAAACCCAUGCUAAAGUUACUCCUGUCCAUGAAGAUAUGAAGCCCUCAAAGAAGAAUGAAGUGGUGAAAAACACUAGUCAGCAACGUGAUAAUAAAAAUAAGCAAUCCUUGAAGAAUGCUCAAGUACAAGAACUUGCAAA